GACGAACGCUGGCGGCGUGCUUAACACAUGCAAGUCGAACGGAAAGGCCCUGCUUUUGUGGGGUGCUCGAGUGGCGAACGGGUGAGUAACACGUGAGUAACCUGCCCUUGACUUUGGUAUAACUUCAGGAAACUGGGGCUAAUACCGGAUAGGAUCUCCUGCUGCAUGGUGGGGGUUGGAAAGUUUCGGCGGUUGGGGAUGGACUCGCGGCUUAUCAGCUUGUUGGUGGGGUAGUGGCUUACCAAGGCUUUGACGGGUAGCCGGCCUGAGAGGGUGGCCGGCCACAUUGGGACUGAGAUACGGCCCAGACUCCGAUGGUAGGCAGCUGUGGAGAAUAUUGCACAAUGGUCGGAAGCCUGAUGCAGCAACCCCGCGUGCGGGAUGACGGCCUUCUGGUUGUAAACCGCAUUCGCCUGUGACGAAGCGUGAGUGACGGUAAUGGGUAAAGAAGCACCGGCUAACUACGUG
rnacentral:rRNA from 1 species